UCUGCUUAAUGUUGGAAUAGCUCGAUCAGUGUCCUUUACUCCUCCACGAAGCUACCUCGACCUCCGGACAUACCCCCACUUCCGUGUUUACCUUUGCUUUUACAUCCUCCACCUCCGUGUUUACUUCCUCCACUUCCAGACAUACUUCCUUCACUCCCAGACAUACUUCCUUCACUUCCGGACAUACCUUUUUUACUACUUUUACUUUUUAGACCUCCGGAUUUAUGUCCUCUACUUUUGGAUUUACCUCCUCUACCUCCGGACAUACUACCUCCUCUACCUCCGGACAUACUUCCUCCGGACAUACUUCCUCCAGACAUGCUUCCUCCAGACAUACUUCCGCCAGACAUGCCUCCUUCACUUCCGGACAUACCUCCUUCACUUCCGGACAUACCUCCUUUCUUUCCAGAUUUACUCUUUAUCUUUCCAGAUUUACCUC
rnacentral:lncRNA from 1 species